GCGGGGUUGCCGAGCCAGGUCAAAGGCGCUAGAUUCAGGGUCUAGUCCCGUAGGGGUUCGCCGGUUCAAAUCCGGCCCCCCGCA
rnacentral:tRNA from 1 species